AGAUUGAACGCUGGCGGCAUGCCUAACACAUGCAAGUCGAACGGGAGUAGCAAUACUCUAGUGGCGGACGGGUGAGGAAUACGUAGGAAUUUGCCCUUAAGUGGGGGAUAACCCGGGGAAACCCGGAUUAAUACCGCAUGACCUCGAAAGAGCAAAGUGGGGGAUCGCAAGACCUCACGCUUUUGGAGAAGCCUACGUCGGAUUAGCUAGUUGGUGAGGUAAUGGCUCACCAAGGCGACGAUCCGUAACUGGUCUGAGAGGAUGAUCAGUCACACCGGAACUGAGACACGGUCCGGACUCCGUACGGGAGGCAGCAGUGGGGAAUAGUUGGACAAGUGGGCGCUAAGGCCUGAUCCAGCAAUGCCGCGUUGUGUAGAAGAAGGCCGUUGGUUAGUAAGCGUAACGUUUAAGUAGGAAAGAAAAACUCG
rnacentral:rRNA from 1 species